rnacentral:lncRNA from 1 species
AAGUUACUUAUUCUUCCUCUUCUGCCUUCUAUUGUCUUCAACUACCCCAAAAAAAUCUCCUGGAAACUACUCUCUGAAAGAAGUUGGAGAAAAAUUAUUAAUGCACUUGAAGAAGAUCAAGAAAAAAGAAAGCGUGAGUAAUGUUUUGGCUCCAUUAUAGUUUUAUGAGAGCACCAUCACAUAUGCGGUUCGUUGCUGACCAAAACAUUGCCUCAUGCUGGAGAAGAGUAUCCGAGCAUAGUUGCUGCUUCGAGUCACUCCAGGGAGAUCUAAAAUUCCAGGUGAACCAUUUGCUGCUAUAGUCAAGAUGAAAAGGAGUGAAGAACAGCUAAAUAAAAUCAAGUAUAAUGGAGGGAAUCACCACCAAAAGAGGGAAAAAAGAAAGCCCUGAGACUCCUUUGUAGACCAGGUUCCUUUCUCACCUCCUGGCUGCUGUGCUGACCCCCAAGGUCCUGAGGAUGAGGAGGCUGAGCAAGGGACAAGGCCACUGGUUGUCAUCUGUCUGGGCAUUGGGUGUGACCUCACAAGGCAACUUGCAUUCUUAACUCUGUCUCAGCCCCUGAGAACCCUGAGCUUGUUGGAUAACCCAACCUGCAAAACACAGCUCACAGAUUUCUGAGAAGCCUGAAGAUUCAGGAUCAGGACCAUAGUAAGAUAUGAGUGUCUAGGUAGCAUGACAACAGCCAGAACCACUUCUCAACAAUUGUGUGAUGUGUACACAGCUGCUGCAGUCCUGGACACUCAUCACUGCCACCCAUGACUCUGGAAUUGGGUAUUGCUGUGGACAACAAUACUACUUUGUUCUGGGAAAGAAUGCCCCUUCAUCCUUGCUUCUUUGAGUCACUCAAUGGAGAUUCAAGGUCUUCCGCAUCACCUUGGUGUUCUCACUUGCGGUGUGCCCACUGCACGAGCUUUCUGCUAUUCUACUGCACAUUCACAGCUCACUUGGAAGAAACUUUAGUAAGAUUCUUGGAAUCUUUCUCACAGCAGGAAGAGUCCUAAGAGACCGAGCUACUCCUUUUACAAUAAUUGAGACACAGACCGCUGGCAAAUGAAAUUUGCCCCAAAUUUGGAAGACCAUCUCAUAGGCAUGACAACAAAAGACUCAUGUGUUUGUUUUAACUUGGUGUGGUUUUUUUUAAUUAUGGGGGUAGUUUUAUUUAUUUUCAAAUAUGUAGUAGCUACUUGCAUUACUUUUUAAUAAACCACAUGUUCAUGGUCUAUGUUUAUUUUUCUAUGAGAAGAUCUAUUUUCCUUAUUGUGUUUUAAAAAUUCUUUCAAUAUAUUAUAGAAUAUCUCUAUUCCCACCAUAUGUGUUUAUACAUUUUAAAAAUUUCUGUUUUCUUACUGUAUGCAUGAUUUUCCCUGUAAAACUUUUUAUUUGCUUGUAGUUAAUGAUAUUAAUUUACUUCAGAAAAUCAUUCACGUGUAAAUAUUCUACAAAACUUGUCUCAUGUUUACUUUGAAUACUUUUAUAGUUCGAUCUUUAUGUUUAAAUCCUUGACCACCUAAAACGUACUUUGAAAUAAUGGGUGGAGUGGAAAUCCAGUAUUUACUCCUUGAAUUGCCGGUAAUCAGUCUAAACAUCAUUCGCUGAAUUACUAACAUUUCUUAAGUGAUGUGGAAUUCUGCCCUUAUCAUUUGUAAAAUUCUCAAAGGCAUUGAGUUUAUCUUUUAUUCCAUUGAGAUGUGUGCAUUUUCUCACCAUUAAUGUAUGUUCUAAUUAUGUUGACAUAUUUUUGUGAUAAUUUUGGUGGAAUUAAAAUGUGUCAUGGGUAACUCUCCCAUGACAAUUUAUCAUCAAUAUUUUCCUGGAAAACCUCAAAUGCUUACUUUAUCAGUUGGUAUGUUCAAUUUCAUUAAUCAUUGGAUUUUUAUCUCAUGGGCUUCCAACUUACUCUUCAUUGUUUAUCACUAAAACCCACUAAAAUCUCCAUUUUUUUUUUUUUUUUUUUGAGACAGGAUCUCGCUCUGUCGCC